rnacentral:rRNA from 1 species
UGGGGAAUAUUGGACAAUGGGCGCAAGCCUGAUCCAGCAAUGCCGCGUGUGUGAAGAAGGCCUUCGGGUUGUAAAGCACUUUUAUCAGGAGCGAAACGCUGUCGGCUAAUACCCGGCGGAACUGACGGUACCUGAGGAAUAAGCACCGGCUAACUUCGUGCCAGCAGCCGCGGUAAUACGAAGGGUGCAAGCGUUAAUCGGAAUUACUGGGCGUAAAGCGUGCGUAGGCGGUUUCUUAAGUCUGCUGUGAAAUCCCCGGGCUCAACCUGGGAAUGGCAGUGGAUACUGGGAGGCUAGAGUGUGUCAGAGGGUGGUGGAAUUCCCGGUGUAGCGGUGAAAUGCGUAGAGAUCGGGAGGAACAUCAGUGGCGAAGGCGGCCACCUGGGACAACACUGACGCUGAGGCACGAAAGCGUGGGGAGCAAACAGGAUUAGAUACCCUGGUAGUCCACGCCCUAAACGAUGCGAACUGGAUGUUGGUCUCAACUCGGAGAUCAGUGUCGAAGCUAACGCGUUAAGUUCGCCGCCUGGGGAGUACGGUCGCAAGACGUGAAACUUAAAUGAA